rnacentral:rRNA from 1 species
UGCAGUCGAGCGGACAGAUGGGAGCUUGCUCCCUGAUGUUAGCGGCGGACGGGUGAGUAACACGUGGGUAACCUGCCUGUAAGACUGGGAUAACUCCGGGAAACCGGGGCUAAUACCGGAUGCUUGUUUGAACCGCAUGGUUCAGACAUAAAAGGUGGCUUCGGCUACCACUUACAGAUGGACCCGCGGCGCAUUAGCUAGUUGGUGAGGUAACGGCUCACCAAGGCAACGAUGCGUAGCCGACCUGAGAGGGUGAUCGGCCACACUGGGACUGAGACACGGCCCAGACUCCUACGGGAGGCAGCAGUAGGGAAUCUUCCGCAAUGGACGAAAGUCUGACGGAGCAACGCCGCGUGAGUGAUGAAGGUUUUCGGAUCGUAAAGCUCUGUUGUUAGGGAAGAACAAGUGCCGUUCAAAUAGGGCGGCACCUUGACGGUACCUAACCAGAAAGCCACGGCUAACUACGUGCCAGCAGCCGCGGUAAUACGUAGGUGGCAAGCGUUGUCCGGAAUUAUUGGGCGUAAAGGGCUCGCAGGCGGUUUCUUAAGUCUGAUGUGAAAGCCCCCGGCUCAACCGGGGAGGGUCAUUGGAAACUGGGGAACUUGAGUGCAGAAGAGGAGAGUGGAAUUCCACGUGUAGCGGUGAAAUGCGUAGAGAUGUGGAGGAACACCAGUGGCGAAGGCGACUCUCUGGUCUGUAACUGACGCUGAGGAGCGAAAGCGUGGGGAGCGAACAGGAUUAGAUACCCUGGUAGUCCACGCCGUAAACGAUGAGUGCUAAGUGUUAGGGGGUUUCCGCCCCUUAGUGCUGCAGCUAACGCAUUAAGCACUCCGCCUGGGGAGUACGGUCGCAAGACUGAAACUCAAAGGAAUUGACGGGGGCCCGCACAAGCGGUGGAGCAUGUGGUUUAAUUCNAAGCAACGCGAAGAACCUUACCNGGUCUUG